AUUAAUGAGAGUUUGAUCCUGGCUCAGGACGAACGCUGGCGGCGUGCCUAAUACAUGCAAGUAGAACGCUGAAGAGAGGAGCUUGCUCUUCUUGGAUGAGUUGCGAACGGGUGAGUAACGCGUAGGUAACCUGCCUUGUAGCGGGGGAUAACUAUUGGAAACGAUAGCUAAUACCGCAUAACAAUGGAUGACACAUGUCAUUUAUUUGAAAGGGGCAAUUGCUCCACUACAAGAUGGACCUGCGUUGUAUUAGCUAGUAGGUGAGGUAAUGGCUCACCUAGGCGACGAUACAUAGCCGACCUGAGAGGGUGAUCGGCCACACUGGGACUGAGACACGGCCCAGACUCCU
rnacentral:rRNA from 1 species